UACGUAGGGUGCAAGCGUUAAUCGGAAUACUGGGCGUAAAGCGUGCGCAGGCGGUUAUGUAAGACAGAUGUGAAAUGCCCCGGGCUUAACCUGGGAACUGCAUUUGUGACUGCAUGGCUAGAGUUGGCAGAGGGUGAGAAUCCACGUGUAGCAGUGAAAUGCGUAGAUAUGUGGAGGAACACCGAUGGCGAAGGCAGCCCUGG
rnacentral:rRNA from 1 species